rnacentral:pre_miRNA from 1 species
UAGGAGCAGGCGGCGGCGCCGCGCGCUACUCCGGCGCCGAGGCUGUCCUCACCGAGUCAGGUACCUGAAGUAGCGCGCGCCGCCUCCCCCGAAGCCUACGGAA